rnacentral:lncRNA from 1 species
GAAAAGCAAAGAACCGAGCUCCCAGCUCGGAUGAACUCGUAACAGGAAAACAACAAAAGAACGAGUACUCUAUCCCAGUGGAGCUUACAGCUCAAACCACACCGAUUACCGGAAGGAUAUCUCAAGAGGAACAAGGUAUUAUAUUCCUGAGCUCGCGACAAUGACGAGAUCACGAGCCAAAAACAGAAAUGCCCUCAUGAGAAUAAGAAAAACUCGCAAGUUAGAAGCUUAACCAGACUCCGAGCUCUUAGCCCGGAUCGGUUCAACCAGCAAAGACCCAGUAGAGCCGGCCUGAUCCAACAAAUAAGUAAAGUUGACAAAACCAGAAGACAGUGUGAGUAGAAAAUAAUGAUGAGGUACAUGCCGAGG